UACGUAGGUGACAAGCGUUGUCCGGAUUUACUGGGCGUAAAGAGCGCGCAGGCGGUCGAUCAAGUCGAGUGUGAAAGCCCCCGGCUCAACUGGGGAGGGUCAUUCGAUACUGAUCGACUCGAAGGCAGGAGAGGGUAGUGGAAUUCCCGGUGUAGUGGUGAAAUGCGUAGAUAUCGGGAGGAACACCAGUGGCGAAGGCGGCUUUCUGGCCAUCAACUGACGCUGAGACGCGAAAGCGUGGGGAGCAAACAGG
rnacentral:rRNA from 1 species